rnacentral:rRNA from 1 species
AUUGAACGCUGGCGGAAUGCUUUACGCAUGCAAGUCGAACGGCAGCACGGACUUCGGUCUGGUGGCGAGUGGCGAACGGGUGAGUAAUGUAUCGGAACGUGCCCAGUCGUGGGGGAUAACGUAGUGAAAAUUACGCUAAUACCGCAUACGAUCUAUGGAUGAAAGCGGGGGAUCGCAAGACCUCGCGCGAUUGGAGCGGCCGAUAUCAGAUUAGGUAGUUGGUGGGGUAAAGGCCCACCAAGCCAACGGUCUGUAGCUGGUCUGAGAGGACGACCAGCCACACUGGAACUGAGACACGGUCCAGACCCCUACGGGAGGCAGCAGUGGGGAAUUUUGGACAAUGGGCGAAAGCCUGAUCCAGCCAUUCCGCGUGCAGGAUGAAGGCCCUCGGGUUGUAAACUGCUUUUGUACAGAACGAAAAGGUUUCUACUAAUACUAGGAGCUCAUGACGGUACUGUAAGAAUAAGCACCGGCUAACUACGUGCCAGCCGCCGCCGUAA